CUAUGGCUACUCCAAAAUUGAGGUCCAAUGGGAUGGCAUUUGGCCCAUCAUUCGGCACUCACAAAGUGACAAGCUUUCUUUUCUUCCCCUCAAAAUAUAUAUAUUCAAUUCAUAUGUGUUGCAAGAGGCAAGCCCAAGGGAAUAAGACUAUAGUUCAACUUGUUCAAUGAGUUUCACCUUAAAUCAAAUAUCGAAGGCCCGAAAGCUAAGCUCAUUAAAUCCAUGUUAAAAAAGGACUAAGCCCAAGUUUACCACAGGCUUGACAUGGGUCUAAUUGUUGAUUGGCUAGGUAAAGGCGUCUCUGGGGUCCACUGCCAUAUUUGACCGCACACAGAAACGAAACGAUCAUCUCAACCCAGCCGUGGACCUCUGGUUUUCGAUAUUCAUGACACGCGGAUACUUGUAUAGAAAAGGAAAAAAAAAAGUGGGCGGUUUUUGUUCGACUCAAUGCCUUUUAAAGCAGGCCAAGGGAAAAGAAUCAAGCUAGAAACAAUUAAGCCGGUGGAGGAAAGGACAGGGAGGAGGAACAAAGAAAGAUGUGUUACGAAGUGAAGUGCUCAACAUGCGGGAAAACAACAUGGGGAGGCUGCGGAAGACAUGUUCCAUCUGUCUAUAAGCGCGUGCCUGAAGCCCAACGCUGCCAAUGCCGAGACUGGCCUGGGGUCAACUCUUCUGCCGAAAAUCCUCAACCUUCGAGUUCUUGUGCUAUUUUGAAGGGGCUGCACAACGGCGAACUGGAUGCUAAAGUUUUGCAUUAUGCCACUAAAAUUGUAAGAAAAAGACAGAUAGAAGCCAAACAGUAUGAUAUUUUUCUUUCCUUUUAUUCUUUUAAUUUCUUCUAUAUAUGGAACCUUUAGAGAAAGAAAAAAGAAAUUACACAUAUGAAAACUUUGUUGAUGGUGUCAAGUCUGAAAUGUCCCAAGUGGAGGGAGAAUCUUCCUGGCGAAUAACGUAGGCAUUGGACACCUCACAUCUCACACUGAAUUAUCGGACGAUCAAAACUUGAAAAUCCAGGAAUCCGCCCAAGGAAACCUUAAAAAAAAAAAAAAAAAAAAAAAAAAGAAGAAGAAGAAAAAGACAAACGACAAACAGAGAUGCUCCUUGUUUUCUUGAUAAGUUCCGCCUUAUCCUUGAUUAUUGAAGGUGUCUUAGCUGGAAUAAGAUGAGUAGAGAUUGAGGAUAAAGUGGUUUGAAUUUGCCAUCAGAAAACACAGUCAUGUGGCAUUGGAGUUACUUUUCCUGGACGCACUCCAAUGCUUAAGUCAGUAAAAUAUGAGAGCUAAGGAAAAAAAGAAGUUGAGGCGUGUAUGGAAAGCUUCAAUGGAGGAAAAGAUAAUUUAGAUAUGUAAGUAUGGUGAUUCUCUUGCAUAUACGAGACUUCUCUUUAUUUUAUAUAUGAAAUAAGAGACGAAAAUUUGAAGACAGCUGUAGUUGAUGAAAAAUAUACGUGCAAUUUGAAAAAAAUUUACUAAGUGAUUAUGAAUUGCAUUUAAUAAUUUUAAGUAAGUGCAUGAUAUAUUUAGUAAUUCAAGAUAAUUUGAAAGUCAAAUAUUUAGUUCUAAUACAAUGUAUUGAUAAAACAUUAGAGAAGAUAUGAAAAAAGUCAUUCUUUAACAAAAGAUAAAUUAUUUUUUUUGAGUA